rnacentral:rRNA from 1 species
UACGGGGGGAGCAAGCGUUGUUCGGAUUUACUGGGCGUAAAGGGCGCGUAGGCGGCCACUGCAAGUCGGUUGUGAAAUCUCCGGGCUUAACCCGGAAAGGUCAAUCGAUACUGCAGGGCUAGAGUGCAGAAGGGGCAACUGGAAUUCUCGGUGUAGCGGUGAAAUGCGUAGAUAUCGGGAGGAACACCAGUGGCGAAGGCGGCUUUCUGGCCCGUUCUUGACGCUGAGGCGCGAAAGCUAGGGUAGCAAACGGG